GAAAAGUUUCACUGAUAUUUUUGCUAUAUCCGAAAAGCUAAAUACAUUUCCGAAACAUAAAAACGUAAUUGAUGGUAAUUUUUGGGUCAAUGCCCUACCAUAUAUAUAUCUCAACGUCAAGCUUUGUUUGAUACGUACGUGUACAUAUGAACAGUUCCACAAUAUUCAAAAAUAUUCACAAGGCGCGAACCAUGUUCACUGAUAAUUACUAAACGAAUGAUAUUUUUGACGAGAAUCAUGUGACACUUUCAAAACAGGUGUACCUGAUCUUUUCCUUCAUCAUUUAUUAUCUCAUAACACACACACAAUAAUACCAAUUCUUC
rnacentral:lncRNA from 1 species